AACUUUGCGCGGUGGUAGUAUCACAGCUAAUGAGAUUUAUCUGAGGCACGAUUAUUACUAAUUGAAAAUUUUUCUGAAGUAAUAAUAGC
rnacentral:snRNA from 1 species